rnacentral:rRNA from 1 species
GAUGAACGCUAGCGGCAGGCCUAACACAUGCAAGUCGAGGGGUAACAUAGAGUGCUUGCACUUUGAUGACGACCGGCGCACGGGUGAGUAACGCGUAUACAAUCUGCCUCAUACUAGGGGAUAGCCCAGAGAAAUUUGGAUUAAUACCCUAUAGUAUCAUUUAGAGUCAUCUCUUUAUGAUUAAAGGUUACGGUAUGAGAUGAGUAUGCGUUCUAUUAGUUAGUAGGUGAGGUAACGGCUCACCUAGACCACGAUAGAUAGGGGCCCUGAGAGGGGGAUCCCCCACACUGGUACUGAGACACGGACCAGACUCCUACGGGAGGCAGCAGUGAGGAAUAUUAGACAAUGGGCGAAAGCCUGAUCUAGCCAUGCUGCGUGCAGGAUGACGGCCCUAUGGGUUGUAAACUGCUUUUAUACAGGAAGAAAAAACUCUACGUGUAGAGUCUUGACGGUGCUGUAAGAAUAAGGAUCGGCUAACUCCGUGCCAGCAGCCGCGGUAAUACGGAGGAUCCAAGCGUUAUCCGGAAUUAUUGGGUUUAAAGGGUCCGUAGGUGGACAAUUAAGUCAGAGGUGAAAUCCUGCAGCUCAACUGUAGAAUUGCCUUUGAAACUGGUUGUCUUGAGUCAUUAUGAAGUGGUUAGAAUGUGUAGUGUAGCGGUGAAAUGCAUAGAUAUUACACAGAAUACCAAUUGCGAAGGCAGAUCACUAAUAAUGUACUGACACUGAUGGACGAAAGCGUGGGUAGCGAACAGGAUUAGAUACCCUGGUAGUCCACGCCGUAAACGAUGGUCACUAGCUGUUCGGACUUCGGUCUGAGUGGCUAAGCGAAAGUGAUAAGUGACCCACCU